rnacentral:snRNA from 1 species
GUCCCUUCGGGGACAUCCGAUAAAAUUGGAACGAUACAGAGAAGGAUGACACGCACAAAUCGAGAAAUGGUCCAAAUUUUU